GAUGCCCCUAGUAACUGCGAGUGAAGAGGGAUUAGCCCAGCACCGAAGCCUGUGGUCGAUUGACUGCUAGGCAAUGUGGUGUUUAGGUUGGUUCUUGGCAUUACUGCUCUGCUCUAAGUCCAUUAAUGAGUACGGCCUAUUGAUUUGGCCCAAAGAGGGUGAAAGGCCCGUGAGAGUAGAGAUCAAGUGUGACAGUUUUGCUCUGAGCUGACCUUGGAGUCGGGUUGUUUGUGAAUGCAGCCCAAAGCAGGUGGUAAACUCCAUCUAAGGCUAAAUACUUACACGAGUCCGAUAGCAAACAAGUACCGUGAGGGAAAGUUGAAAAGUACUUUGAAGAGAGAGUAAACAGUGCGUGAAACCGUUCAGAGGUAAACGGGUGGAGUUGAACUGCGAACUCUGAGAAUUCAACUGAUAAGCGUGGUUUGCGCUCGGGCUUAUUGGCCAGCCUUCUGUGUCUGUCUAACGACAGGUGCCUGCUCCGCCGGCGGGUAUGUGGGAUGCACUUAUCACGUGCCACACGCAUUGGAGGUGAGUGGUCUGCUUGUCAGUGCACUUUCUCAGGGUGUUCACCACGACCGGCAUUGCUGUCUGUCUGCUUUGGUCGAACUGAUCAGGUCUGGUCAUUGCUAGGCUUGGUUGGGAUAGAAGGUAGCUCAUUUGUUCAUUUUAUGGACUGUGAGUGUAAUUAGCUGACCAUAGUGGAUCUGUACGGUAUGCUGGAGAUGACGGCUUUGCAUACGUGCUCUGUCCUUCGGACGGGAUUAAGUUCGGCCGGCUUGUUACCAGCCUAUGUUGGUCCGUCGGUGGCUUGAUUCUGUUCUGUUGGCGGUUGCGUGUGUGACAUGGUAUGGGCCAAUAGUCUGUGGUGUUGUGGUAGACGAUCCACCUGACCCGUCUUGAAACACGGACCAAGGAGUUUAACAUGUACGCGAGUCAUUGGGCGUUACGAAACCCAAAGGCGAAGUGAAGGUAAAGGUUCGGCCUGUCCGGACUGAGGUGAGAUCCCGUUGUUUUGCCAAGUAAAUUUUCGAGAUGCGAGCAUCGGGCGCAUCACCGGCCCGUCCCAUGACGUAGACAUGUGACUUCGUGUCGUGUGCACCGUCGGGGCGGAGCAAGAGCGUACACGUUGAGACCCGAAAGAUGGUGAACUAUGCUUGCAGAGGUUGAAGCCAGAGGAAACUCUGGUGGAGGACCGCAGCGAUUCUGACGUGCAAAUCGAUCGUCUAAUGUGAGUAUAGGGGC
rnacentral:rRNA from 1 species